UAGAUCUGGAAUGAAGUUUCAAUGACCAAGGAACUGUGGAGGACAAAUAGAUCAGCUGGCCUACGUCUCACCAAAUGAGUACUGCUUUGAUGGAGGGGCGAAGUCUGUGGUGUGUACUGUGUCAUCAGACUGUACCAUGCGUGCCUGGGAUCUGCAUGAGGUAAGCAUCUGUGUCGUGCAGUGCCAGCGGAGGACAGAAGAGGCUGUUGGAUCCCCUGGAACUG